AUUGACAUAAAAGAAAUUUAUGGCCAAAGGCAACUUUAAGUAAAAGCCAUGGAUUUGCUAAGAGGAAGAGAAGUAGUGCUGAAGCACUGGGUUGAAGCUUUUGAAUUAUCUGGCUCCACUGGCUCAUGAAAUUGUGGUAUUUCAGAAAGAACUGCAGAAAGCAGGAAAUGCUAUCAUAGCUGAGCAUGAGGAGUUCAAAAAUCACAGGCCAGCUCUGCAGUACAACUGCAAGAUGCAAAUGAGCAUUCUGGGUGGCUGAAGGCCCAGAUACUAGAUUACAAACUUCCGUAAAAAGUUAAGUAUUCAGGUGACCGAUUUUGUAUUGCAACUGAAGCAAACUCAGACAGCCCUAGAGAAUAAAGUGUACUGUAAUCCAAAGCAGCAUCUGAUCCAUCAUUCUGUCAGUGGAUUAAUAAGUGGCAAUAUGGUGCCUUGCAAUGGUGCUAUACAUCAGGAUUUCUUGAACGAUUCUCUUAAACAGAAAAGAGGUAUGGUAACAUCAAGGAUCCCAAAUUUUCCAAAUGGAGCUGUGGAGGGUAGUCCUUCCAAUUCUGACCUUGAGUUUGUAGUUAAUACUAAGCAAGGGUCAAAGAGCUUAAGCAAGAGGCAAAGAGCUUAAGUAAGAGGACAGACCCUUGGAAAAGGCUUUCAGAAGUUGCUAUCUGAGAGUCGUUAACAUCAUACCAAAAGCCCACUACCAGCAAAGAGCUCACCAUCUCUGCACUUGCUGAAAGCUUUCAAAAACAUUACUUCCAGUUCUCUAGAAAGCCAUAUAUUUGCAGAGGACAGAGUUGUCUCUGAGCAGCCUCAAGUGAAAAAACUUAAAGAUUAAAGGAAUGGCACCUGGAAGCACUCAUGGGCAGUGCAGUGUUGAGGCUACACAGUGGCAUUUCCUCCAGACAAGUCUUCUCUACCCCUUUUCCGAAAGCAAAAAGGAACCUUAAAGUGAAAUGUAUCUGGAAGGUCUGGACAGAUUACAUGUGGGUUCCCCAGUCCUUGUUCUGACAGAAUGCCCCAGCAGUCACCCACUGAGUCAAGGCACAGCCUCUCCAACCCUCCAGACCAAAAGUUUCGCCUUUACCACAGACAGAGGGAACUUCAAGACAAAAGUGAAUUUUCAGUUGUCAACAAGCUAAAUUUUAAGGACAAUGACUAAUUUGACUCACCUUUUAAAGAUCUAGAUCAGAAAGAAAUUGAAGAACAAAAGGAAGAAGAAAAAAAUGUGGAAACAGCAAGUGAAAGAAUGAAGGCAGAGAGAAGAAAAAAAGGCAGAGUAACCUACAUUUUAGAAAGGGAACAGAGGGAACUAGAAAAACUGGAUCAAGAAAGGAGCUCAAGAAAGGUGAUUCAGGAAGGCUCCCUAUAGACAUGCUUCAAUCUAGUGACAAAGUUGAAAUUUGAACAGGAUUUUCUCAUGAAGGACCAGAUCACUCUUGAAAACCAGGUUUGCUCUCCAGCUUCUAUUGCAAAUAUAAUGAGAAGAUACAUAAC
rnacentral:lncRNA from 1 species